UACGUAGGCAGCGAGCGUUGUUCGGAAUUACUGGGCGUAAAGAGCGUGUAGGCGGCUUGGUAGGUCUCGCGUCAAAACCUGAGGCUCAACCUCCAGUUCGCGUGGGAAACCACCUAGCUAGAGUCCGGAAGAGGAGAACGGAAUUCCCAGUGUAGCGGUGAAAUGCGCAGAUAUUGGGAAGAACACCAGUGGCGAAGGCGGUUCUCUGGGACGGUACUGACGCUGAGACGCGAAAGCGUGGGGAGCGAACAGG
rnacentral:rRNA from 1 species